UACGUAGGGUGCAAGCGUUGUCCGGAAUUAUUGGGCGUACAGAGCUCGUAGGCGGUCUGUCGCGUCGGCUGUGAAAACUCGGGGCUCAACUCCGAGCUUGCAGUCGAUACGGGCAGGCUAGAGUUCGGCAGAGGAGACUGGAAUUCCUGGUGUAGCGGUGAAAUGCGCAGAUAUCAGGAGGAACACCGGUGGCGAAGGCGGGUCUCUGGGCCGAUACUGACGCUGAGGAGCGAAAGCGUGGGGAGCGAACAGG
rnacentral:rRNA from 1 species